CUAAUGCUCCCUCCGUUCGAAAAUACUUGUCAUUAAAAUGGAUAAAAAAAUGAUGUAUCUAGAACUAAUAUACAUCUAGAUACAUCCCCUUUUAUUCAUUUUGAUGACAAGUAUUUCCGGACGGAGGGAGUACGCG
rfam:Triticum aestivum genome assembly, contig: Triticum_aestivum_CS42_TGACv1_scaffold_320333_4BL